rnacentral:ncRNA from 1 species
CGUAUUGUAAUUUUAUAGCGCGCUGGGAUGAAUCCCUUGCAGACGACUUGGACGUCGGACCGGGUCGUGUAAGCAGUCGAGUAGCCUUGUUGUUACGAGCUGCUGAGCGUAAGCCCGUUUUGUCCGCUCGAUUUGU